rnacentral:rRNA from 1 species
UACGUAGGGUGCGAGCGUUGUCCGGAAUUAUUGGGCGUAAAGAGCUCGUAGGCGGUCUGUCGCGUCGAUCGUGAAAAACUUGGGGCUUAACCCUGAGCUUGCGGUCGAUACGGGCAUGACUGGAGUUCGGCAGGGGAGACUGGAAUUCCUGGUGUAGCGGGUGAAAUGCGCAGAUAGUCAGGAGGAACACCGGUGGCGAAGGCGGGACUCU